rnacentral:lncRNA from 1 species
UCCUUAUGUUAUAAAAAGUACAAAAAGUCUCAAAAACUGACACAUUUUUUUUCUAUCUUAUUUAAAAAAAAAUUUUUUGCCUUAAAUAUAUCAUUCCAAAUCUUCAUUAAGGAAUGACUGUAAUAUUUUUUCUGUCUAUGAAGAAAUAACACCAAAAAUGUGGUGCACACUGAAUAACCCGCUAGUGGGUUAUUUUAAAGUGUGCACCACAUUUUUUAUGUUAUUUCGAAUAGACAGAAAAAAUAUUAGUCAUUUUUUCAUAAUUUAAUUCUAAAUUCCAUUUUAAACCAGACUAAACCAUGAUUUAACGUUGAUGACUUCACGGUCACAUGACAAAAUUAUAUCUAUGAGCAGAUAAACAAAACAACGUCAGCCAAUCAGAAGACGUGUUACAUCUAAAAUUAAAUUAUUGAUAUAUAAUCAUAAGGAAAUCUAUAUUCAAAUUGAUAUUGUUUUGUUUCCUUUCUUAGGCAAUAAUUGCUAAAGAUGCAAAUAAUAAGAAUCGAUCUGUUUUAUUUCAUAUGUGAACCAAAAACUUCAAUUGUCUUACAAAAAAUAUUGAUUUAUAUGUAUUCAAAACUAAUUUGAAAACUUUAAAUUCAAAAAGAAUCUGGUGAAAAAAUAAAUCUCUGAAAUGCCCCCAGUUUUUUCCCUCCCUAAUGGUAUUUUCUUACCUUUAAAUUGUUCAGUAUUUUAAUAUGGCUGUGAAUUAUUUUCAAAAUGGUUCUUAAUAUUUUAUAAAUUAUAAAUUAUAGGGGGGCAAAAUGAAAAACAGAAACAGCUCAAAUAACUCUAAGUCAUUAGAGCAUGAUAGAAAAAAAAAGAUAGAAAAACGUGAAUGAAAGGGACAAAAGUAAGCUGUUACAACAUCAAUAAAUCUUUGACAAAAUUACCUCUCUGUAUUUAAGUCCCCGAUUGAUCUGUAAAGACAAAUUUACACACAUUAGAAUAAUAGAAAAAUUAAUCCUUAUACCUGCCAAUAUUAUAUUCACAUGAAAUUUGCUUGACUUCACUUUUAGUACCAGCUAUUCUUUAAACAAAAAAUCUUAGGAGUAAAAUUUAUACUCUUUAAGUUAUGAAUUUUAUUGUAACAAAAUAUCAUCAAUUUUAAUCAUAAGACUUUUAGUGAAAAGAGUAGCAGAUUCUGUUAAGUCCGAAAUUAUGAGUAUUUACAGAUCUUUUUCUCACGGACUUAAAUGCAGGUUACAUUAUUCAGAACUGUCACAAAAUGUAAACUUUAUAACUCUCAAUAAUUUCUAUAAACAGUACUUCUUCAUACAUCAAUUUUUAAGUUGUAAGAUCGUCAACUGUUAAAAUUAAAUGACCUAUCAUAAUUCUUUUCAAUUCAUUCUAAAUAAUGUAUAAAAAUAUAUAAUUUCAAACUAUUGUUUUUCUUUUAAAAUAAAA